UCCCUCCCCCAAUCCUAUCCAUUCGGUAUGUUUACAUGCAGUUCAAUGCAAGAUUCGCCAUUACGAUACUAGACCUCGUAUCGAUACAAUUCUAUUAUAGUGUCGGUACACGGUUCAGUAUGGUACAAGAUGACAUUCUGAGUGUCGGUAUGCUACGAGAUACCAUACCAAUAUGAGACUAGUCCUGUAUGGUAUGGGGUGUAUCGGGUGGUUCAGCCCAGUAUGGCACUCAAUGGUUCAAUGGCUUAUCUAUACUGGCCUUACGUUAUUGUGCCUUUAUAAAUGAAAAGCUUUUAGAAAUACUAAUCUGUAUGAGGCCUCAACAAUCUAAUUUGUGAUCAGCAUUGGACCAAGGACUUGCUAAACAAGGGAAACCCUGAUAGCUACAAGAAAAAUAGAAGCAUCAAAAAUUUGUAUCUGUUAGAAGUUACUGAGAAAAGUUUUUCUUUUUUGAUAAACUAUUUGCUUUCCUUGUUGGAAUAAAAAUAAAGAGAAUAUACUAGUUCAAAUCACAAGAGAGUAUCUGACAUGGAGUCUGCAAAGCAAAGCGGGUUAAGUGUCUCAUUUUCAAAUUGAAAGUGAUAUAACAAAUUAAGAAGAAACAGUAGAGAGAUGAAGCAAAGCGGAGGUGGAAAGUGAUUUUAAUGAAAAUAUUCGUAGGUUUCUUGGUCAUGAGAACAUAGAUUAGGAUGAAAUAUUCAGCAAUUCAGUGGCUCCUUGGGUCAAGGGUAUUGUUUUAAAACUGGCCCCAUGGCCUAGUUUAAAGGUCUACAGCUCUAUUCCUACCAAUUACCAGUUUAAUGUAUAAGGAAUGCUGCUCCAAUUCUACUGUCCCUCCUUGUGCGGCAUUGGAUGUUGGCAAGCAAUACAAGUCCUUUAGUAAACUUUGUUAGAGAAGAUGUGAGUAUAGUUUUGAAAGAUUACAAUUUCACUUGUUAGGCCAUAGAGUA
rnacentral:lncRNA from 1 species